ensembl:lncRNA
AUAUUUGGCCGACCGUAAUCCGCAAAAAAUUCAGCGGAAAACGGACUGGAAGGGCAGUUUCGGUCGGAAUCUUAGGAUGAGAACGAUCUCGCGCGAGGUUGAGCGUUAGCGAGCGCAGCCAGCGGAAACGGGUUUGUUUAACGGAUCGAAAGCGAUGGAGAGGCCUGCGAGAGUGUUUUUCCACGGGAUGAGGAAAAAUGACCUGCUAACCUGAAAUCGGAAACCGCCUUUGUGCACAUCUACGCUUUCGGCGCCCUUUUUAGCUUUAUUAUUUUCACGCAUUGCUCUUCGAGAGGACUUUCUCCGUUCACGAGCAGAGGGAUGUGAUUGAAAAAGGGAAUUCGGCUUUCCCCCUCUCCCUCAUCCCCCUUCACAGUCCACACAACCAUCCCGGAGAACAAUCGGCGCGUUUCUUUCAACCUGCAAAGGCUUUGGUACGUUUUCAGUUAUACAAUGGAAUUUAAUUGUAGUUGCGUGGAGA